rnacentral:lncRNA from 1 species
UCCAAUCAUAACAAAAUCCAAAGUAAAAGAUAAUCUAGACCGACACAACGAAGCCUAGAUCAGAGCCGACUAAACUCUAAACACCGAUAUCGGAGAAAGCUCCCGAUAUCCACCAAGCACAAAAACUCACCGAGCAACUAACCCUGCACAACGUCUACCCAUCCAUACAGACAGGUAGGCGGUCAAAACCACUGGGGUUAAGUAUUACAUCAUCAUAAUCCAAAUAACAGUUAACAUGUAUAUUUCAAUUUAAACAUCAUGCACUUGAUCAAUAAUAAUAUUCUCAUACAUAUACUUACAUCAAACCCCAAUAUCUCACAUAAAUAAUCACCAAUCACAUGUGUCAUGAACAAAUAUCAAUUUCCAAUUAUUCAUACACAAUUAUCAAACACAUAUAUCAAUAAGACUCAUGUCAUGAUAUGCACCUAUCGACACAUAUAUGCAUGUGGUACCAAAUCACCUCAAGGUCGUCACCCAUAUCCAGACCACCAAGGGUCUCUGCAAGGCCGAAGCCCAAAAACUAGAUCACGAAGGAUCUCUGCAAGACCGAAGUCCACAACUAGAUCACAAAUGAUCUCUGUAAGGCCGAAGCCCAAAAACUAGAUCACAAAUGAUCUCUGCUAGGCCGAAGCCCAAUAAUGAAUAAAACAUCAUAUAAAAUCUCAACACGACUAUGAUGCAUGAACAUGUACAAGGACUCAAUAAUGCGACAACAAUCCACAAUUUUCACCUCAAUAUAUAGGACAACUUCCAAUUAUAUUGAUUAUCUCCACAACAUUUGCAUUAUCAAGAAAACAUGCCCAUACACAAAUAAAUCAUAAUAUUCACCAUCACACAUUAACAUAAUUAUCAAUAAUCAACAAGGUCAUUCAACAUCAACUAUCACAUAUAGUUUUACCAUUCAAGCAUUUCUUACAUUCUAAGUAAGAUAGCAUGCACAUUUCAUGAUAAACAUCAUAUCCAAUACAAUCAUUCAUUUAUACAACUUCACUUAGUCAUAUAAGAAUAAUCACAACCAUUCAUAAGGUAAUUGACUCAAGAAAACAUUUUUGACCAAAAACCGUAUCAAGUGGCAAACGACCAACAUUGACAAUCCCAAGACAAAACGACGUAGACAAGUUGAAACUUCUCAAACCACCUUAAUCAAUCAUGUAUUCAUGAACUUGAGUCGUCUCCGGACUAUUAAACAUUAAUCCAAGAAUAACUUCAGUUCAUAUGAAAAACCCAAUUUCACAACCUUUCACAUUCCCACCCGAAAUAUCACUUUUUACAUGAUUAAGAUGUUUGACCACACUUACAAGUUUUACCUAAGUCUAUAUGAGCUGUAGGUUCAACUUAUAAGUCCCAAUGUUUGCAAAAGUUUGUUUCCGACAAAAGUCUAAGUUCCAAAAUUCCCAAGUUAAGACUCAAAUGAAGAAUUUCAAGUUUAGGCAACCUAAUCAUGUUCCAGUAGUUUUAGGGGAUUAAACAGUAGUUAAACAUGUUUAAAGAAUCAUUUUAGAAAGCUCGGAUUGGCCCCCAAAGAAUCGGAACAAAAGAUUAAUGUGGCUGAAACUGGACCUGUUCGCUUAAGCGAACGAGUUACAUUGACAAACCACAUUGCAUGCUUUCUGGUCGCUCACCAGUUCGCUUAAGCGACCACAUGUUCACUUAAGCGAACGAGUUCCAGUAGCAACCAGAAAACUUCGCUUACCAGCACGCUAACUGGUCGCUUAAGCGACCUAACCCAGAAAAUCCAUAUGAAUGCUCGCUUAUAGGUUGCUUAAGCGAACCUCUAAGCGAACGUUCACAGUUUUGCAGUAAAUGUUACGGGUUUGAACCCUUUUUCACCCAAAAUCCCCAAUUUUGACCCCUCAUUGCCCAAAUGUGUUUCCAAAACAUGUUUAUAGGUCAAUAUGACUAAAAAGACUCACAAAAACUCAAUCAAACUUGAAAACAUUUGACAAUUGGACCAAUUCCCCAUUUUCAUCGAAACACCAACAACAUCUCAUUUCUCCAUAACAAAAUCAUGAAUCAUGCAACCCAAGCCAUGAAUUAUCAUCAACAACAUGACUAAACAACAACAACAUCUAUUGAUCAUCAACUAGCAACAAUUCAAUUAUUCAUAACUUCAUACAUCUAAACAUGUCAUCACAAUUGGAGCACGAAUUUGAUCAUUUAUGAACAAUUAAUCAAUUCAUCCAAUUAAGCACUUUUCAUACAAAUAAUUGAAAAUUAUAAUAAUGAUUAUGAUGAAUUCUAACCCCCUUACCUUAGUAGGUUAAUCUCUCUAGCUUAGGCUUCAAUUUUGCUCCUAGCUCUUCU